UUUCGAGUUGUAGUCCAACGAGUUUUGACAAUUGGAGAAAAACGACUGUCGCCGCGAAAACAUGUGCGAGAUUUCAACGCAAAACGAUACGCGACACCGUUUCAGCUUUUUUAAUCGCCUUUUGAUGAUCGGUAGCAUAACUUUAGCAACCAGCACACCAGCAGGCACAUGAAGUAAGAAAUAACGGUUGUCUAUUUCGUGUAAUUUAAAAUAUUAAUUUCCCAUUAUUUAAAAUCUCAAUUCGGAUAUCGUCGAACGAUCGGUCGUAAAAUUCUACUCUAAAUGAAUAACGUGGCACACGAUUUGUUGUAAAUUUGUCACUAUCAACCGCCAUUAUAAGACGAUGACAAAAAAAAAAAAAAACAAAAAAAUGCUAAAACGACAACACAUAUCGGUUUAAGUUAAAAAUGUACACGCGUUUUUACGGCUGUAGUAGGAUUUAUUUAUCAUCGUACGGAAUGUGUUAACAGUUAUCACUUAAAAACGUCAAUUUUUGACCAUGUUUAAAAAAAAAAAAGUACCGUUUUUAAACUUGAUAUGCAUAUUGUACGGAUUACGAAUAAAUCAUAUCAAAUACAAUUGUUAUUUUAUUUUUUUUUCCACUCUGUAUGUUCGUAUUG